UGGCUCUGGCAUCGAUGAAGAACGCAGCGAAAUGCGAUAAGUAGUGUGAAUUGCAGAAUUCAGUGAAUCAUCGAAUCUUUGAACGCACAUUGCGCCCCUUGGUAUUCCAUGGGGCAUGCCUGUUCGAGCGUCAUCUACACCCUCAAGCUCUGCUUGGUGUUGGGCGUCUGUCCCGCCUCUGUGCGUGGACUCGCCCCAAAUUCAUUGGCAGCGGUCUUGCCUCCUCUCGCGCAGCACAAUUGCGUUGUUAGGGGUGUGGCUUGCUUCCAUAAAGCAUUAUUACCGUCUUUGACCUCGGAUCAGGUAGGGAUACCCGCUGA
rnacentral:misc_RNA from 1 species